rnacentral:lncRNA from 1 species
UCUUCACCAGUUUUGCCUUCAUCAGUAGUCUCUUCAAAAUUAGUGGUCUCAGAUGAGUAGGCAGCUCCUUUUCCAUAGGUAUCUCCUUCACCAUAAUUAGUUUUCUCUCCAUAGGUAGUUUCAGAUGGAACAUCUCCAUAGCCACUCUUGUUUUCAUAGCCACUCUCUCCAUAACUAGUCUUAUUUUCAUAGCCACUAUCUCCAUAGCCACUCUUGUUUUCAUAGCCACUAUCUCCAUAGCCACUCUUGUUUUCAUAGCCACUAUCUCCAUAACCAGUCUUAUUUUCAUAGCCACUAUCUCCAUCGCUAGUCUUAUUUUCAUAGCCACUAUCUCCAUAGUUACCUCCCUCACCAUAACUAGUUUUCUCUACAUAUCCACUUUCUCCAUAGUCAGUUUUCUCACCAUAUUUGUUAUCCCCAUAGUUAUCUCCCCCACCAUAACUAGUUUUCUCACCAUAUGUAUUCUCUCCGUAGGUAGUUUUUUCAGUAUCACCACCAUAUGGAGUUUCUCCAUAGGUAGUUUUGUCUUCCUCCUUGUCCUUGUGGUGGAAGAGACCGAAGUGGUGCUUCUUCUCUUCAGCCAUUUUGGUGAUAAAUGUGAUGGUUGACGAGUUUUGAAAAAAGUAGUAGUACGUACAAUAUACUUGGGUGCUGUUGGGAUGUUUUCUCUUGUUAAUAUUGAGUGGUAUUUAUAACUACUGUUGGUUAUAACUAGCUAGCCUAUGAGUUUGGAACUUGAGUUAGUUGAUGUGAGGACGACUAAUUUGUUUGUCCAGUGACCGUGUGUACGAGUUUUAUCCAAUGUUCGCACCUCUUUAAUUUGCAUGAAGGAAGUUUGUUACGUAGAUUUUUCAAUCCAUGUGGCGAAAAUCGACGAAUGCUUAAUUGUUAUGCCGACAUGAUACAUGACUCGCAUGCAUAUUCAUUUAUUGAGUUUUAGUGAGACAAACUUUAUUUCCGUCAUUAACUGCUUUAACUACGUAUGAUAUAUACGAUACGAAUAAUUAUAAACCUCUUUGCUGCGCAUUUUUUCUAGCUAACAUUAAGAAUUAGAUCAGACACUAUCAUGCAACAAAGAAAAGGAAGUGGCGAUAGAAACAACAAAAAAAGAUAAUGACAAUUGAGGAAUGGGUAACGAGUUUAUGUAUACCACCCACGUAACCUUCAAAACUCAAAUAUCGUGGGAGGAUUUAUGUUUAGUCUUUAGAAUACAAUUAAACUUCUAAAAUCGUCCAAAAAGGGAAAAGAAGGGGAAAAAGACUAAACAAAUUACCAUUUUCCUAUGUUUUGAAUUAAGUAUCAUAUGUAUAUAAGUUUUUUUCGGAAAUAUAGGGUUUAGUCCUAAUCCUAUAUGUCUGUGCCUUUGGCCUCAAAAUACUCUAGUCAGCCUCAACUUUUGUGUGUGUCGAUUGUCAAAACUAUACCUAUCUCAAUUCUUAGUUUACCCAAUGAACUGAGGCCCCAUGUCAUAUUGUUCAUUCUCCAAAUAUCUGGUUUUAAACGUGACGUGCGAGAGAAUGUGUGUCGAUUAAUUAGAACGUUCCACAUUAGUAAUCGAAUAUUGUCUUGAGUAAUCCUUACAACAUGAUCGUCAAGUUUUUUAGAUGAAUUUAUUAGUCCCAAUAUCCAUCUUCUUAACAAUGUCCUACAUAGUUAGGCUGAAAAUUAACUCAAUGUAGGCUUAAUUAUAAGUAGGCAAGUAGUCCAUAUUCAAAUGGAUGUCACCUUCACGGCUUCUCCAUUGAAGACCGGAAGGUUGAGGAGCUAUCUACAUAUAUACACACUGUCAGGAUUGCAUGCAACCCUAUAUACUUAAUUAUGUGAAAAUCUAAAUAUGCUUAAUUAUGUGAAAAUGUACAUAUUUUAAUUUCCCAACCUUCUUCUUUAAGAUAUAUAAAUUCAUACGGUGAUUAAAAGAUAUUUGAAACAUCGUAUAUUAGCUUUCAGAAAUAUGGAGUCUUUGGUUCAAAAAUACACGUGUGUUCCGAGCAUUUGCUAUACACUUGACCAAUAGCGAGGUUACUACUCACUCCGUUAUGUAAUCUAUUUCCUUUUUGGUCCGUUAAAAAAAAAAAGACCUUUUUCUAAAUUUGGAAACAAUUUUGGUAAACUUAAAAUUCUACCCUUAAUGAGAAGCUUUUAUAACCACACAAAUACUCUGGACCCUUUUUUUGACUUGUUUAGGACCACAAUUUGCAAAAGUCUUCAUUUUUUCUUAAACUCCGUGCUCAGUCAAACAGAUUUACAUAAAUUGGAACGGAGGGAGUACAAUUUUUUUGAAUUCAGAUAAUCUUUAUCAAUUGUCAUAUUAACAUGUGACUAUUUUGGUAAAUUUUGCUGAAUUAAUGUUAAUGCAUGACUAAGUUGAAAUUAAAUACAACCAUUAAUUAAACUGGUCUAUGCUUACAAGUUUGAACAACAUGACCCUUAACCUAAGCUUUAAUGGGUAUAAUUAUUAAUGAUUGAUACUUUUAUUAGUGGAAGAAUGCGAGUGCAAUAGUUAAGAUGCACAGCACUGUAUGUUAUCAAGAAAGAAAAUUGAGCAACAUAACUUUUUCCUUUCUAAAAAUUUGUAAACUUCCACGAGUGCCACGUUAUAUGUAGAUUUAUGACCCCAUUAGAAGCACAAAAUAAAAAUAUAUAUACUAUCUCAUUAAAAGCAGAAAAUAAAAGGAACAAAAAAAUCAAAAUCAUCAAUAGCAAUUUAUUUCAUUAUCCAUUCUAAUGGAAUUAAAAACAUCGCUAGCUAAUUAACUUUAUUGGCUUCGAUACAAUACACUGAAAACUAUUACGAUCUCCAAAAUAAAAAAAAGAAGUAAAAGUUGGAAAUCACAAAUGGAGAUCUUGAGUAUCUUUGAACCGAAAUCCCAACUCAUCUUCCACAUGAAUUGCUUGAUAGUAAUCUUUUUCAUAACUAUACGAUAUUAAAGUAUGGAUAGCAAUAAAAAGGGUCGGCAUUGCCAUUAUGAUUAGGACCCAUAUUUUGGCAUCUGUUGAAUUUUGAGGAGUGUCGGCAAACUUUUUAGGUAUAUUCAGUCGAACAGUUUCUUUGCUUGCCUUUUAUUUGUUGGUUUAUUGUCUUUGUCCUUCCAACUGCCAUUCUAAUAUCUGAAAACGGAAAAGAGAGGAAAUGGUAUUCUUUUUUUUAUCCCAUCAAAAUGAUCAUUAGUGUUUGCACUUAUUUUUUCACUUACUCGAACCUUUAACCUAUUGGUCAAUGAUGGAGGUGCUCAAAUAUUAAAGCAACUCUCACUUGUCUAAAUUAUUUAUCAUUUUUUUAAUACUUUUUCUAAGGAUCUUAUAUUCGGACUACUAAUUCGAUUAAUUUAAAUUUAUAUUAGUUGAUCCACGAAAGAAGUGAAGCGUUUCUUAAUAAGAGCAUCUAUAUUCUUAAGGUUUGAUUAAAAUUAAUAUGACUGGCUGAUUUGAGAACCUACUAAGUUAGAGUAACAACAAAAGAAUUUAUAGUGGAAAAAGAAGAUUUUCAUGAUGGAAAAAAAGAAGAAUAUUUUCAUGACCUUAUAGGAAACAUGUUCUAUUUUUAACUGUUAAGAUAAAGUUAUACUGAAACAAGAUUGUUUUUUUAUAAAUCGAUUUUCCAAAUUAAGAGACAAGCAUCGAACUAUCGAAGUAAUAUUUGAUCAAGAAAAUGUUUGCUAAAAGUAUGUUUCACAUCUCACCAAAUUGACCCUUCUGUAUCUCACUCUCUUCCUCGACUCUUGUUAUUUAGUGAUUUUUUUAAUACUUGCAUUUUCCAAAUUAGACAUUUUAAAAAAAAAUCUUCUUUACAUCAGUGGUUUAUAACGAGCCGACCAAAAUAGCUGGAGGGACAAAAGAGGAAGCCACCUCAUUUCUGUGGGAUUUAAGUUAUAUAUAUACUUAGUAUAAUUUAACGUACUACCUUAUUACUGCAAUUUAUAUUAGGUGACUAAUAAAUACUAUUAUUAAAUAAAAUUGCAUGCAAUUACUGACCUGAUUUUUAAGUAAUUUUUACACAAUUAGUGUAUACAGUAAUUGAACUUAAACUCAUUUAUGUUUACUAGAGUUGGUUCUUGUUUAAUUUGGAGCCACUUUUAGGAGCUUAAAGGAAACAAAAACAAGGAUUUAAAUAUAUAGCGUGUACAAAAUAAUGUCAAGAAUAAAAUACAUAUACUAAGACUGGUGAUUUUCAUCGUUCAUGCAUAAAAGUUGUUGUUUAAUGCAGGGUCCGAGUUAGAAGUCUGGCUACAUUUGGCAAAACUCCGUAUCUUUUGCUCAAGCAGUGUAUUUGAGUUAAAAUUUUCGCUAAGUAUAUAUAAAUAUUAAAUUUAGAACCCAAUUAUUAAUAUUUAAAAUCGUCGUUUUAAAAUCCAGAACCUAUAAAAUUGAAAUUUUGACUCCGCCUCUGAUUUAACGUUGGAAACUAUUUUCUUGUGUCCUUUUUUUAUUCUUCCAUUCAUUGUUUAUCUUCUUCUUAGUAGGUUUGUAUAAAUUAGCAUUAUAAUUAGGGACGGAUAACUGAACCCUCAGAUCGAGGGAUGAAAAUUUCUGCCCUCUUAGUUAUCCUAAAUCCUAAUUAGCACUACUACUAUUUCCACCAACCCUCUGGACUUCCACUCUUUCUUACAAUUUAUUAAAAUUAUAGGACUACAGUAUGCGUAUGUGUAAAUAGUUACGGUAAAGAUAUUUUAAAAUAUAUAGAGUAAUACAUUCACAGCUCUAAAAUUUUGGAUUAUUAUAUAUGUAUUUAAGGUAAAAAUUUAGGUCGAUUUUCAAAUUUAGGUGAAGUUCAAUGAAAAUUUUAAGAAGAUAAACCUCUUUGAUCAAGUCGCAAAGUCCACAUGCAUAUGUGAUGUUCGGAGAAAGUGAUAGAUACCUGAUAUUUACAGUUUUUAUUUUCUUUUUCUUUUUGUGAGGGUGUAACUUAGGUAUUAAAAACCAAAAAUGUUGGUAUAACAUUAAUUUUCUUUCUCUUCGUUUACGAAAUUAUAUAACUAUUUUUCUUACGAGUUAUGCUUUAGUUUGAAUUUUAUCAUCACCUUCAUCCUAUUAAAAAAAUAAUUAUAAAUCAAAUAGCAUAAUUAAGGGCACAAGUCCUAACAAUCUGAAAUAAAUGUAUCAUCAUCUUGAUGGGAUAAGCUCGUUAGAUGUGCUCAUAUCCCGUUCUAAGUCGUUGACAAACUAAAUUGAUAUAUUGAAAUCUUGUUAAUUAAAUGCUUUUCCAUAUAUNNNNNNNNNNNNNNNNNNNNNNNNNNNNNNNNNNNNNNNNNNNNNNNNNNNNNNNNNNNNNNNNNNNNNNNNNNNNNNNNNNNNNNNNNNNNNNNNNNNNNNNNNNNNNNNNNNNNNNNNNNAAUUGAUGAAAUGGCCCGACAUUGAACAAGAUCGACAAAGUAAGACUAGAUACCAAAAAACAAACCAAAUAGUAAUUAGUAGGUAAAAGAUAAGUUACCACGACGAAUGGAAUGUUACGUGUAGUAUUUUAGUAUGUAAUACGGAAGAUAUAGUGGCCAAAAACUGCAUCUUAUUAUCCCAAAAGAAAAGGAGAAAGUAUAUUUAUUGUGAAUAUUAUUAUCAUUAUGAUUCAAUUAACCACAAUAUUUAUGAUAAAGAAGUGGAAGAAUAUCCAUUGUGAUAUCCGCACCAACACAAGUUAGUUGAUAUAUACAUAUGGAGCGUUGAGUGUCGACAAUUAGUGGGGGUGGGCUUCUGAUGUGAAAUGUGAAUCACAAGAAUCCCUCAUAUAAUUCACUUCUUUAUUAUCUUUAGAGAGAAAUUAAAGCAGCUGAGUCAAAUGGUCCUUUGAAUUAUUACUUGAUUGGACCUUUCGUCAUCAUUGGGUCCAUUUAAUUGAACGUGUCGGCAAGUCUUGAUUCUAGUCGUUCGAUUCAAUCCCAAACCAUAUCCUUUUUCUUUUCAAAUAUGCUAGUAUUACAUUGAGUGAUCUCAAAAAAAAAAAAAAUAAAAAAAAAAAAAUUUACACUAACGAAUAUUAGAUUUGUCUUUUAUGAAUACACACAACACUAAUCAGUGAGAAAAUGGAGAUGCUUGACAAAUUAAAAUGAGGAUGAAGGAGAUCUAAUCAACUUGAAAUUAGUUCAAAAAAUUUCACUCUGAUUUACUUGCAAAGGAGGAAUUUAAAAGAAGUGUUAUACUAAAUUACUACUCUCUCCGUCCCAAUUUAUAUGGCGAUAUUUGACUCGGCACAAAAUUUAACAAGAAAAAAAAAAGAUAACUUGUGGUCUAAAAUAAGUUAGAGAUAUUUGUGUGCCUAUAAAGUAUCUAAAGAUAAAAUAGAAAAUUUAAUGUUGAAUUAUUUUUAAAAUAAAGAAGUAUUACAUUAUUUUUGCAAAAGACAAAAAAAAAAAUGCUAUUGUUUACCUAGCUUAUCCUCUCAUGUCUAUUUUGCUAUCUUACUAGCUAGCGGAUAUGUGGUGGUGGUGGUGGUGGUGGGGUUGGGGGGUGGGGGUUACGACCCACCAACUGACAUUUUCUUCUACUAACUCUUGUAAUAUUGUGGUUCAACUUGGCAGUUUAAACGCUCUACGUAGCACAUAUAUGCAUGCACUGAUACUAAUUCAGUUUAAUACUAAUAUUGUAUAUCGUCUCUCUACAAAAUAGCAAAAACUUACCUUGACCUAAAAAAAUAUCGUCUCUCUAAAAAAUAACAAAAGCUUACCUUUACCUCAAUAUAGCAUCAGAUUAGUGUGUCAUACUCCCGUUCAUUUUGCUUAGUACCUUACAUGAGCCAAAACCUGAUCAUCAUGUAGACCUCGUUUGUUUUCACUUACUUAACGUCUGGAUCUGAAUCCUUUAGGCACGUCAAUUCUAGAGUUUGUGUUUGUUCUAUAUAUUUGUAAAUGAUUUUUCGUUACUAUGUGCUGGAAAUUAAACAAGAUUAACUAGUAUUCUAACAUCGUCUAGGAUUUGGUAUUUACUAGUUUAUUUAAUUUAUGUCUAAUUAGGAUUCACAACCAAAAUCACGUAGGAAUAUAUUUUUCUAGAUUCUAGUCAAAUUUGGAUUGUAGUAUUAUAAAUGUGGAUGCUACAACAUAUUUUCUAUUGUAGAGAGGUAACUACAAUUAGUGGCGAAACUAGAAAUUUUUCCAAGGGUAUUCAAAUUUGAAAGAAGUGAAAAAAGAUUCCCUACAAAAGGGUGUUCAAUAUGUGUUAUAUACCUCUCAAACGUAAUAUUUUACCUUAUACACAGUGCAAUUUUUUGACGAAGGAUGGUCAAGUGACCACCAUUGUGAAUAUGUGGCUUCGCCACUGACUACGAUGUAAAGAGAUUCAAGAGUUUAUGUCACGCCCCGAACCUGGGCCUGGACGUAACACGACACCCGGUGCCUGACUACAUGUGGCCGAGCGAACCAACUGGCUGGCUGAAUCAACAUGUGAUAUCAUAACAUACUGAAUGCGGAAGAUAAACUAACACAUGAUGAUAUAAUGAAAGUCUGAAUUAUGUAGCCAAAAUUACUUAACAUGAAAAGCCUACGACUCUGUCUAACUAUUACUCUAGUCUAUGAAGUCUCUAAUGAAGUACUGAAAACAUCGACUGUCUGAAAAUACUGAAGAUUGUAAGGUAAUGAUAAUGCCCUGAAAGAACUGGGGAUCACCAAUUUGAAUUACACUGGUAUGUAAAGAAACUAAAAGAAAGAACUGUAAAUGCUGAAACUGAAACUGAGCCGAUAAUUGAGAACUGAUAACUGAAAUGAUAACUGCUGAAAUUGAAACUGAAAUGAUAACUGCUAACUGAUAACUGAUAACUGAACAAAGGAAGUAAGGAUAUGAAUACUCCUUCUUCGGAAUGAUGAACCACCUGCUUAUCUGAAUAAACUACGGUCUUGGGCCCAAUAUAUAUGUUCACAAGCUACGGCCUCAGGCCCAAGUUUACCUAUACAUAACUACAGCAUCAUGCCCAAAAAUGCAUAAAGCAUAAACUACAGCCUCAGGCCCAAACAUGCAUAAAACAUAAACUACGGCCUCUGGCCCAAGUAUGCAUAGAGCAUAUAAACUAAGGUCUCAUGCCCAAAUACAGGUGUUCAACAUUAAGGGAUUUAAAUUCAGGAACUGAGAAUCAUACUGCAAUAUGCGAUGCUAAAAUAGUGAAUCAUAUUGAGUUACAUGAUAUUGGAAUACUAAUAGGACUAGACUGAGACAUGUAUUCUUAAUCUGAUUAUGAAAACUGAAACUUCAAUUGUUUAUGACAUGUUGAGUAAUCUAGAUUGAGACUCAUGGGUAUCAAACCCAAGUCUAUAUUGAUUACACACUAAGCUCACAACGUUCAGAAUGAAAGUCAUGAACGAGUUAUGAAGCUGGAUAAUAGAAGUUCUGCAACUAAUCAAGGAACUAGGCUUAACUAUAUUUCUAAGGCAAUUAGUAACGUCGUAAAAGAAACGUAGUGUAGGCAGAAUCAUUAACAUUUCCAAACAUAGAGAGUUAGCCUCACAUACCUUAAUUAACUUCUUGUUGUUGAGCGUAAUACAACAUUCGCCAACCCUUUCAACUUUAAUCUAUAUCAAUACAAGUUAAAUGAUUCCAUAUUAGCAAUAAUACUCAUAUUUUGAUCACUUAGGCAUUCACUACUAGAAAUCCAGAAACAACUAUCCAAUAAACCGACCAAAAUCGAUCGGUAAUGGCCAGUAACCGUCCAAAAAGUGACCAUUUACGUGUGGUCGGUAUUUUGAAGGUCAGAAGAGCAUAAUGACCAAAGUUGAUAAGAAAUUACCGACCAACAUUGGUCGGUAUGCUCUACACGACUAUUUGACAAUUUAAUUGACUUAACGACCAAUAAUGGUCGGAAUGUUAUUUUAAUAAUUUAAUUUUACCGACCAACAUUGGUCGGUGUAUUAAAUUUAUUAAUUUUGCUUACCGACCAACUUUGGUCGGUAUUGAAAAAUUUAUAUUUUUAAUAAAUAAUUAAAAUUUAUAAAUACCGACCAACGUUGGCCGGUAAUCCGAACAGGGCAGCCAACUUACCGACCAAAGUUAGUCGGUAGUGUUGAAUUUAUGGGAAUUCAAUGUGCAUUAACCGACCAACAUUGGUCGGUAUUUUGUAAUUUAAUUUUUUUUAUUAGUUACCGACCAAGGUUGGUUGAUUUUCUAGGACUAAUUUUGGCAAAAAAUACUUAUUUUGGUAACUACACCACCUGUCAAAUAAAAAUAACAUACCAAUACCCCCAAUUUAACACAAACAACUCCUAAUUCACCACAAAUUCAACAAAAUAUCCAAUUAAUACUUUAAAACUAAUAAAGUUCAAUUAAACAUCACAAUCCAAAACCAAGCAAAAACUAAGUAAUUACAACAAGUUCAAAAGUGUUCAAUCUAAUUCAAAACUAGUUCUAUUAGUCUAGUUCAAAGUAUACUAAAGUAUUGGUCAAGGGGUGUUUUCUACAACAUCAUCACUAUCUUAUGAACUUUCAUCUACAAGACGGUAUAGAGAACGGUGUUGUGGAGGACUUGAAGAACGAUCACGGGGAGGACAGGAGGAACGAUCACGUGGAGGUCGAUCCUCUCGCGAUAAAUCAUGAGACCGGGGCAACAGAAAAGCUCCAGUAUAAAGGAGAGUUCUAAUCUGAGCUUGCAUAUCAAGGAAUUGAGCAUCUGUAAGCCUUUCUCUUUCUUUGGCCGCUUCUAGCUCGGAUGUAAGCCUUGUCAUUGUCUCCUACAUAGCCGAGAGGCCCUCCCUAUUAAGUGUCUCGCCCUGUGAGGAAGUCCACAUUCCUUGCAUUCCACACCUAUAACGGUGAAAUAGUUUCUCAGGAAGCCUGUAUACCUUCCCCCUUUUUGGACCACCAAUAACCUCUAACCAUAUUCUUUCAGCAUCCUCAUCCGAAGGUUGGGUUGGCUCGCCCGAUGCACCAUCUGGCUGACUACGAAUGAAUUCAUGCACGUUACUUUGGUAGCGACCCUACGUUAUUUUAGAUUAAAUUAGUAUUUAAAAAUUCUUAUAUAAGUAAAUUAUAACACUUAAAGAAAAUUUAAAGCUUACAUAUGCAGUCUCUGCCCGGUCCUCGACCCACCUAUCUGCAUCCCCCUAUUUCUUCUUCUUUAAAAUAUGUGUUUCCUUGAAUAGCUCAUCACGGCUCAUUGGACGUCCAUACUUCUUUUCCUAAAAAAAAAUUAAUUUAGUUAAUAAAUAGAAUUAAUAUACUUAGAAAAGUAAAUGAUUUAAGCAAUUACCAAUCUUCUUCUUAUUGUCCAGAUGCUAAUAGCACCCCCAGUGUGCAAGGAGCCUCCCUUCUCGGAUGAGCGAGCUUUAUGUCCUUGUUCGCUCCUCUUUAAGAAAUCCUCUGUCUGCCAUUGCCUUAACAAAUCAUCCCAUAAAUGCUGCAGGCACCAAUCAGGCCUCUUGUUCUUCUUUCUACCAUCUGAGAAAUGAUCCGCCAAUCUCUUACGGGCUUUGUGAUAAAAAUUUGCAGCCACUUUCUCGCUAUAGCGGUCUUCCCAUACACACUUGCUUUGCAUUUCAAAAGUUAAAUAUUAGAUGAAAACAUCAUAAAUAUAAAUUAUUAAACUACUUAAAAGAACAUUUAUACCUUAAACUGAUUGAAAAUUUGCUCCUUCAGCGAGUAUGGGAAAUCACUCCAAGUCUCAUAAGGGCCAUCAUAAAGCUUUUUGAUCGCAUUGAUGAUUAUCUUCGUAGUCUACUUACCCGGCUUGAACCUGCAAUUUAACAAUAAAAUAUAUGAAAAUAUUAGUAAAAAUAUUAUAAAACAAUAAAUACAAAAAUAACAAAUAACUCUUACGUGUUACCCUCAGGGACUAUGAUGAUCCUUCCAUAGCGAUCAUAAUGCACUACCUCUGGAUCAUCAUCCUCUGCAUAUGUAUCGGAGACAUGUGUAAACGGCGUAGAUGGGGGCUUAGAGCUACGGUCUCGCAGGCGAAGUCCUGAAAUGGAUAGAGUCGAUAAUGAAAUGGCUGCAAUCCCUGUGACUGCGACAUAGCUGGAUGCGAUCCAUGUGGCUGUGAUACUGACGGCUGUGACCUGAGUGGCUAUGAUAUGGAUGGUUGCGAUCCAUGUGGUUUUAAAAUGUAGGGAUGCGAUCCACGUGGAUGUGAUGCAGAUGAAUGCGAUCCACGUGGCUAUGAGGCAACUGGACUGUAUGUCAGACGUAUAGUCAUAUGGCCCUGUGAUGGAAGACCCGGUGUCUGGAUGAAGGUGUAGGCCUCGUGAUGUUGUGGCAUCUCAGUAUAGCCGUGUGGUGGAGGAUAAGACAUAGGCAUUUCUAAAGAGGGUGGAAAUGAGGGAGUAGUAUUAUCCCUAGGAUAUACCCUCCUCUUUCCCUUCCUAGCCUUUUCUCGACUCCGAAAACUAGUAGGUUCAUUGUUACCUUGACCCCUACCUGCUAUCUGCAUAAUAUAAUGCAUAUUUAGAUUGAAACAUAUAAGAAACUAGUUAUAACACGAGAGUGCUUUAAAAAACAACUUUUUAAUAAUCGUCGACGUAUUGUUCCUCGUCCGAGAAUUCCUCGUCCUCAAUUGUUUAAAUUUCAUCAAUUAAUUCUUCGUCCUCAUUUUCUAUAAUUGUUACUUCAUUCAUAGCAAUUUCUUCCAAUAUGCAUUCAGGAUGUUCCAAAUCAUUUUCUAACUGAUCGUCCACUAUUUGGUGAACACUGAAGAUAUCAUUUUGAUAUGCAACAUCUAACACAUUUUCGACUUCCACCAUACCUACAAGCUUAGUUUUGAUUACAACCCACCAAGCGGACUUAUUCCACCGUAAUGGAUAAGGAUCAUAAUACACUUGCCUAACGUUAUGCAUAAUUAUUAAAGGAUCAUAGUGAUCAUACUCCCUCGUAUGAUUAACCUUAAUUAUGUUGUAUUGGUGGUGUACUCUUGUACUCCAUAUCACUCAAACUUAUCUUUCUAACAUACUUAGAAUAUCGGCAUGAUUGAUUGAAGAUGGACAUUGGUGGAUAUAUUGGAUCAUUGACACAUUUGACAAUGUGUCUAUUCCUAGAACAUGGCACGUUACUCUCAAAAUAAUAAGAACAAAAAUGUGCAGUUUUCUUUACAAGAUAGGCUUCGCAUAUAGAUCCUUCAAUCUUAUUCCUCUGCUUAACAAAUUGUUUGCAUUUUCCAAUUGUCCUACAUAAUGUCAUGUUAGCCAAGAACAUUCAAAUAAAAUAGAAUAUUACAUCAAACUUAUAAUAUUACCUCUCAAAGGGAUACAUCCAUCUGCAUUGAACAGGCACUCCAAAUCGUGCCUCAUGUACAAGGUGGAUUGGAAGGUGUUCCAUCACAUCAAAGAAACCACAUGAAAAUAUUUUUUCCAUCUUACUAGAAGUUACAUGAAUGUUGUGAUUCAUCCGAAGUAGGUUUUCUUCCCUUAAGGUGGUAGAAUAUAAGUCUUUGAAAAAUAAAGUAAUAUAUGUGAUGGGUUUCCAGAUUCUUUCAGGCAAACCACAAAACGCAAUAGGUAGUAAGGUCUCCAUGAAAACAUAACAGUCAAGACUUUUCAAAUGGCUCAACUUCCCUAUCUCCAUAUCUAUUUUUUUCCUAGAUUCGACGCAUAACCCUCAUGCAUCUUCAAUUUCGUAACCCAAUCAAAAAUUUAUCGUUUUUCCUCUAAAGUGAAUGUGUAACUUGCUUUGGUCUUGAAUACCUUACCAUUGUUUGUUGUCUGCAAGUAUAAUUCAUGUCGCCUGGAAUAUUCUUGUAAGUCCAUUCUAUACUUUGGGUUAUCGUUUGUCUUACCUUUAUCAUCCAUCACUGAGUUGAACAAAUUGUCAAAAUAAUUCUUCUCAAUAUGCAUAACAUCAAGGUUGUGUUGGAGAAGAUUAUCCUUCCUAUAAGGCAACUCCCGAAAUAUACUUUGUUUCAUCCAAUUAUGAGUAACACCAUAUCUGGGAAAUCUAGAAGGUGGAGCCUCAGUNNNNNNNNNNNNNNNNNNNNNNNNNNNNNNNNNNNNNNNNNNNNNNNNNNNNNNNNNNNNNNNNNNNNNNNNNNNNNNNNNNNNNNNNNNNNNNNNNNNNNNNNNNNNNNNNNNNNNNNNNNNNNNNNNNNNNNNNNNNNNNNNNNNNNNNNNNNNNNNNNNNNNNNNNNNNNNNNNNNNNNNNNNNNNNNNNNNNNNNNNNNNNNNNNNNNNNNNNNNNNNNNNNNNNNNNNNNNNNNNNNNNNNNNNNNNNNNNNNNNNNNNNNNNNNNNNNNNNNNNNNNNNNNNNNNNNNNNNNNNNNNNNNNNNNNNNNNNNNNNNNNNNNNNNNNNNNNNNNNNNNNNNNNNNNNNNNNNNNNNNNNNNNNNNNNNNNNNNNNNNNNNNNNNNNNNNNNNNNNNNNNNNNNNNNNNNNNNNNNNNNNNNNNNNNNNNNNNNNNNNNNNNNNNNNNNNNNNNNNNNNNNNNNNNNNNNNNNNNNNNNNNNNNNNNNNNNNNNNNNNNNNNNNNNNNNNNNNNNNNNNNNNNNNNNNNNNNNNNNNNNNNNNNNNNNNNNNNNNNNNNNNNNNNNNNNNNNNNNNNNNNNNNNNNNNNNNNNNNNNNNNNNNNNNNNNNNNNNNNNNNNNNNNNNNNNNNNNNNNNNNNNNNNNNNNNNNNNNNNNNNNNNNNNNNNNNNNNNNNNNNNNNNNNNNNNNNNNNNNNNNNNNNNNNNNNNNNNNNNNNNNNNNNNNNNNNNNNNNNNNNNNNNNNNNNNNNNNNNNNNNNNNNNNNNNNNNNNNNNNNNNNNNNNNNNNNNNNNNNNNNNNNNNNNNNNNNNNNNNNNNNNNNNNNNNNNNNNNNNNNNNNNNNNNNNNNNNNNNNNNNNNNNNNNNNNNNNNNNNNNNNNNNNNNAUAUAUAUAUAUAUAUGGACUAGUCAUAUACAACUCAGAUGGUAGAUUAUAAGGUGUAAGAAAGAUAAGUCAGCAUGAAUAUGGUGUCACAGAUAUAGAAAAAGGAGUGAAGCCAUCCACACACAAACCUAACCGAAUGUUCCUUGGUUCACUAGCAUAAUCUGGAUAUGUCCUAUCAAAGUAUUUCCAAGCUUCUCCAUCUGAUGGAUGACACAUAAAAUUAGGUAGUCUUCUAUUUUCAAAGUGCCAUUUCAUAUGAGGAACUCAUCGACGCAUAUAACCUCUUUAACCUAGGUAUAGGAGGCAAAUAAUGCAUCGCCUUCACAGCGACCAUAUUCCCGCUGGAAAUCCUCUUGAUUUUUGCAGAAUUUACAACUUUCUAAAUUUGCAUCAUCUUUAUAAUAUAACAUGUAAUCAUCUUCACAACAAUCAAUUCUCAUCGACAAAAGUCCUAACUUAGAAACCAAUAUCUUUGCCUUAUAUAAAUCACCAGGUAAGUUGAUAUUUGGGUCAACUACUUCACUCAUAAGGUCAAUGAAGGAGUCCAUGGCCGAUUAAGAAAUAUUUCAAUCAAAUUUGAUACUUAGUAAUCUAACUGCAACAGAUACCUCAGAGUGCGGACUUCCUUCACGUAGUGGACGACUAGCUUCAUCUAACUGUUCAUAAAAUAUUUUGCAUCAUCAUUAGGAGUUUGUUCAAUAUUUUCAUUGGGCUCACCCCCGGAGUGCAUCCCAAAAGCAUCCGCUACCAUAUCCUGAAUUCUAGAACAUGAUUUCUAUACUCCACCGACCUACUACUUUCACCAACAACCAUAUUAUGAAAUAUUCCACGGCUACCAUCGAUCUCUCUAUGAUUAGUCCACACAAAAUUAUUCUCUAUAAACCCCUUCCUAUAAAGAUGAAGCCUAACUUCCUCCGAUUUUUUAAACUUCACACAAUCACACUUGACACAAGGGAACCUAAAUACUCCUUCAAUUUGGUAUGAUGAAAGUGACAUUGCAUGUCUAAUAAAGUCAUUAACCCCUUCUACAAAAUUCUCCCACAAUCCCCGCCGAUUAGGAUAAUUUCUAUUGUACAUCCAAGUACGAUGUUCCAUCUAUACAAAUAAAAAAAAUAAAUUAACAUAUUUCCAUAAGUAUUAGAACUACUUAAUUUAUUCUACAAUUAUAAAUUAAUUAAAUAAUUUUUAGUUAAUUAAGAUAAUUAAAUUUUACUAAUUACACCAAAAUUAAAUUAUAGUAAAUAUAAUUAAUUAUGAUUCAUUCAAUUUAAACAUAAAUUAUAAGUUCAAUUCAUACCCAAAAGGUUCAACACUUAUCCCUAAAAGUUUAAUUCACAACCAAAAAUGUCACGACCCAAAAUCCUAACCUGUCGUGAUGGCGCCUAUCGUGGAACUAGGCAAGCCGACUCAUCCCAAAACAUACCUAUCUUUUCAUUUCAAAAAUAAUUUCAAGGCUAUUUAGCAUAAAACAUUCGUAAAAGAGUUCAAACCAAAACAAAAGUGCGGAAAAUAAAAGCCCGACAUCGGGGUGUCACUAAGUCAUGAGCAUCUAGAUAAUCAAGCUAAUACAACUAGUGUCUAAAUAUCAAUACAAGACAGAAAGGAAUAUAGAAGGAGAGUCAAGGUCCUGCGGACGCCGGCAGCUACCUCGUAGUCUCCGAUACUCGAUCGCGCUCGAACUCAAUGACCUCCGUGAUCAAACACACCUGGAUCUUCGCAUAAAGUGCAGGGUGUAGCAUAAGUACAACCACCUCAGCAAGUAACAGAAAUAAAUAAGGAACUGAGAAAAAAUAAAACGAGCUACACAUGAUACAGUUCUUUUCAAAAAUUUCAGUUAAGGAAUUUAGGCACGCUUUCAAACUGGUGUUUCAAAAAUCAGAUGUUUUAAGCUCAUGUGACACGGUAUAAGCCCUCCAAAACAUCACAACAUAAAUGAAUAGCAACAAGGUGCAUCAAUAAAUAAAAGCAAUAUACAGCCUCACAUGGGCUACUAACCCCCUCUUUCCACUAAUUACAUGAUUAAAUAACGAGAAAUCACCAUAUAUACGAGUAUUAGGGCUCAAGCAACUUAUUUCACUGAUAGCCCUUGAAUCACCUUUCAAAAAUCACUCCAAAAGCUCCAAAAACCAACUUGAAAAUAGUGGAAAGAACCAAAUCCGCGAAAGGUUCUAUUUAUGGUUUCAGCCCAAGCUUUUCGCACCUGCAGACCAUUUCUCGCAUCUGCGCAACCGCACCUGCGGAAAAAUCCAUCACAGGUGCAAAACUCACUUAUGAGCCCAAGAUUCGCAUCUGCGGCCAACUUGUCGCACCUGCGUAUGGCACACCGCAUCUGCGAAGCUAGCCUACUUCCUUCAUUCUGCAUCAGCGCCCUAGGUCUCGCACCUGUGCAUCCUGCCUAGCCCAGCAUUGCCCGCACCUGCGAACCCCCAUGCGCACCAGCGGCCCCGCACCUAUGACUCCCCUUCCACAGGUACGGAAAUAACAGUAGCAGCAGCUUCGGCUACAUUUUCCAACUUUGACAAAUCCGUUAACCACCCAGAAUCACCCCGAGGUCCUCGGGACCUCAACCAAAAAUAUUGACAAGUCAUAUAUCAACAUAUCAACUUAGUCGAACCUACAAAUAACUCAAAAUAACAUCAAAACACCAAAUUACCCUUUGAUUCAAGCCUAAGAACUUCUAAAACGUCCAAAUUCGACAACUGAUGCCGAAACUAACAAAACCACAUCCGAAUGACCUCAAAUUUUGCACACGCAUCAAAAAUCACACUACGAACCUACUCCAACUUUCGAAAUUCCUUCUUGACCCCGAUAUCAAAUUUUCCAAUGCCGACCAAAGAUCGCCAAAUUUCCAAUUUCGCCAAUUCAAGCCUAAUUCUACUAUGGACUUCCAAAUCAUAUUUCGGACGUGCUCCUGAGUCCAAAAUCACCUAACUGAGCUAAUGGAACCAUCAGAAUUCAAAUCCGAGGUCGUUUGCACAUAGAUCAACAUCUGGUUGACUUUUUAUACUUAAGCUUCUACUUUAGGGACUAAGUAUUUCAAUCCACUCUGAAACCACUCCAGACUCGAACCAACUAACCCGAUACAUCAUAAUAUAGAUGAAAGGAACAAAAGAAGCAAAAAUGGGGAAAACAGGGGUUGUAACUCUCAGAACGACCGGCCGGUUCAUUACAUCCUCCCCCUCUUAAACAACCUUUCAUCCUCGAACGGGUCCAGAAACAUACCUGGAGUCUCAAAUUGGUGUGGAUAUCUGCUCCGUAUCUCCCGCUCGGUCUCCCAGUUUGCCUCUUCCACAGGUUGCCCUCUCCACUGCACCUUCACUGAAGCUAUGUCCUUUGACCUCAGCCUUCGAACCUGCCGAUCCAAAAUGGCCACCGGCUCCAUAUCAUAAGUCAUAUCGCCUUUCAACUGAACCGUGCUGAAAUCCAAAAUAUGGGACGGAUCUCCGAUAUACUUCCGGAGCAUGGAAACAUGAAAUACUGGGUGCACGCUUAACAAGCUGGGUGGCAAGGCAAGCUUAUACGCCACCUCCCCUAUCCUCUGAAGCACCUCAAAAGGGCCAAUGAACUAGGGGCUCAACUUGCCCUUCUUCCCAAACCUCACCUCACCCUUCAUGGGUGAUACCUUCAGCAAAACCUUCUCCCAAACCAUAAAAGACACAUCACGGACAUUCCUAUCCGCGUAGCUCUUCUGCCUAGACUGCGCCGUGCGAAGCCGCUCCUAAAUCAAUUUUACCUUAUCUAAUGCAUCCUAGACCAAGUCUGUACCCAAGAGCCUAGCCUCACCCGGCUCAAACCAUCCAACCAGAGAUCUACACCUCCUCCCAUAUAAAUCCUCGUGCGGAGCCAUCUGAAUACUCGACUGAUAACUUAUAUGAAAACUCCAUGAGUGGCAGAAUCUGGUCCCAUGAACCCCCAAAGUCAAUGACACAAGCACGCAAUAUGUCCUCCAAUAUUUGAAUAGUGCGCUCGGACUGCCCAUCCAUCUGAGGGUGAAAAGUUAUGCUCAACUCAACUUGAGUACCCAACUCUUGCUGCACGGUCCUCCAAAAUUACGAUGUGAACUAAGUACCUCUAUCUGAAAUGAUGGAAACUUGGACACUAUACAGGCGAACAAUCUCUCGAAUAUUAAUCUUAGUCAACCGCUCUAAAGUAUAAGUAGUACCAACUGGAAUGAAGUGCGUGAACUUGGUCAUCCGAUCCACAAUAACCCAAAUAGCAUCGAACUUCCUUGAAGUCUGUGGAAGCCCAACUACGAAGUCCAUGGUGAUCCACUCCCACUUCCACUCUAGGAUCUCUAACUUCUGAAGCAAGCCACCCGGUCUAUGAUUCUCAUACUUAACAUGCUGACAGUUGAUACACAGAUCUACAAACCCAACUAUAUCUUUUUUCAUCCGCCUCCACCAAUAGUGCUUCCUCAAAUCCUGGUACAUCUUCGCGGCACCCAGAUGGAUGGAAUACCGCGAACUGUGGGCCUUCUCAAGAAUCAAAUCCCUGAACCCAUCUACAUUAGGCACACAUAUCCGGCCCUGCAUUCUCAACACGCCGUCAUCACCAAUGGUCACAUCCCUAGCAUCAUCUCGCUGAACCUUGUCAUGAAGAACGAGCAAGUGGGGGUCAUCAUGCUGACGCUUCCUAAUAUGAUCAUAAAGAGAAGACUUGGAGACCACAUAAGCCAAUACCCGACUUGGCUCCGAAAUAUCCAAUUUGACAAGCUGGCCCACUAAGGCCUGAACAUCCAAUGUGAAGGGUCUCUCUGCUACUGGGAGAUAUGCUAAACUCCCCAAACUCUCCGCCCGACGACUCAAAGCAUCGGCCACCACAUUGGCCUUCCCCGGAUGGUACAAGAUAAUGAUAUCGUAGUCCUUAAGAAGCUCUAACCAUCUCUGUUGAUGCAAGUUAAGAUCCUUCCGCUUCAACAGAUACUGCAAACUCCGGUGAUCAGUAUAGAUCUCACAAUGAACCCCAUACAAACAAUGAUGCCAAAUCUUCAAGGCGUGCACAAUGGCUGCUAACUCAUGAUCAUGGACACGAUAGUUCUUCUCAUGGGUCUUCAACUGGCACUAGGCAUAGGUAAUCACCCUACCCUCCUGCAUCAGAACACAUCCAAUACCUACUAUCGAGGCAUCACAAUACACGGUGUAAGAACCUGAAGCUGAUGGCAGAACUAACACCGGAGCUGUGGUCAAAGCAGUCUUGAGCUUCUGAAAGCUCUCCUCACACUCAUCCGACCACUUGAAUGGAGCACCCUUUUAGGUCAAUUUGGUCAAGGGCUAAUAAACAAAAAACCCUGAACGAACCGACGGUAAUAACCAGCCAUAUCGAGAAAGCUUCGAAUCUCUGUAGCUGAGGACGAUCUUGGCCAACUCUUAACCGCCUCUAUCUUCUUCGGAUCAACCUGAAUACCCUCACUGGACACCACGUGCCCCAAGAAUACUACUGAACCGAGCCAGAACUCACACUUGGAGAAUUUUGCAUAAAGCUUCUCCUCCCUCAAUCUUUGUAAUACAAUCCUCAAGUGUUGAGCAUGUUCCUCCUGACUACGAGAGUACUCUAGGAUGUCAUCAAUGAAUACAAUAAUGAAUGAGUCCAAAUAGGGCUGGAAUGCACUGUUCAUCAGAUGCAUGAACGCUGCUGGUGCGUUGGUUUGCCCAAAGGACAUCACCAAGAACUCAUAAUGGCCAUAUUGGGUCCUGAAAGCUGUCUUAAGAAUAUCCGAAUCCCAAAUCUUUAGCUGGUGAUAACUGGACCUCAAAUCAAUCUCGGAGAACACCCUCGCUCCCCGAAGCUGGUCAAAUAAAUCAUCAAUACGAGGUAAAUGAUACUUGUUCUUGACUGUGACUUUGUUUAACUACCUGUAAUCAAUGCACAUCCUCAUGGAACCAUCCUUCUUAUUUACAAAUAGAACUGGUGCACCCGAAGAUGACACACUAGGCCGGAUAAACCCCUUAUCAAGGAAUUCCUGAAGCUGUUCCUUCAACUCCUUCAACUCCGCCGGUGCCAUACGAUAUGUGGAAUAGAAAUGGGUUGAGUUCCCGAUACCAAAUCAAUACCAAAGUCAAUAUCCCUGUCAAGCGGCAUGCCCGAUAGGUCUGCAGGAAACAUAUCCAAAAAAACACACACCACCGGAACAGAAUCAAUGGCAGGAGUCUCUGCACUAGCAUCCCUCACAAAAUCCAAAUAGGAUCGACAACCCUUCUUAACGAUACGUUGAGACUUCAAUUACGAAAUCACCCUACUAGGUACAUAGUCUAUAGAACUACUCCACUCAACUCUCGGAAGUCCCGGCAUCACCAAGGUCACGGUCUUAGCAUGACAAUCUAGAACAACAUGACAUGGAGAUAACCAAUCCAUGCCCAAUAUCACAUCAAAGUCAACCAUACUGAGCAACAAUAGAUCCACUCAGGUUUCCAGACCCCCAAUAGUCACCAUACAAGACCGAUAUACGUGAUCCACCAUAAUAGUAUCGCCCACAGGAGUAGAUACAUGAACAGAUGAAACUAAAGACUCACGGGGCAUAUCUAGACAAUGAGCAAAGUAUGAGGAAACAUAUGAAUAAGUGGAACCAGGGUCAAAUAAUACAGAAGCAUCUCUGUGGAAAACAGAGACAAUACCUGUAAUCACAACAUCCGAAACAAUAGCAUCUGGUCUGGCAGGGAGAGCAUAAAAAUAGGCCUGGCUACCCCUGAUCUACCUCCCCCUCUAGGGCAACCCCUAGCUGACUGACCUCCACCCCUAGCUGACUGAUUCCUCUGUUGAGCGGAACCUCCCACUAGACGGGGACACUCUCUCCUCAGCUGACCAAACUCUCCACACUCAUACCAACACCCCGAUGCUGGUGCUGGGGACUGAAUAUAGCCCCGAGCACCAGGGAUGACUAGCAGAAGGACCCGACAUAGACGAACUCUGACCCGAUAGAGCACGCGAAUAACUUUGCGCUGGUAGUGCACAGGAUGAUGGUUGUCCCUGCUGAUAACUGUAAGAACCAUGGCCAAAUGAUGCACCACGGUGAAAUGGCCGAGCUGACUGAGCCUGUCUGAAAUGACGACCUCUACCGUGCCGGAAAUAACUCCCAGAAGGUGCACUGCUGAAUCCACCCUGACCACGAGGCCUCUUGGCCUCCCUCUAAACCCUCUCCUGCCCACGAACCAUCUCAAUUUGCCGAGCAAUGUCGACAACCUCAUCAAAGGUCGCACCCGAAACCCACUCUCUGGUCAUGAGCAACUGUAGCUGAUAAGUGAGACCAUCAAUAAACCCCAUGAUCCUCUCCCUGUCUGUGGGAACCAACCAGAUAGCAUGAUGGGCCAACUCAGAGAACUGCAUCUCAUACUGUGGCACAAACAUAUCACCCUGGUAAAGCCGCUCAAACUGUCUGCGCAGCUCCUCUCUACGGGAUCGAGGCACGAAUUUCUCCAAAAAGACUGCAGAGAACUGCUGCCAAGUAAGGGGUGCUGCGCCAACAGGACUACGGCUCUCGUAAGUCUCCCACCAUCUGAGUGCAUCCCCGGAAAACUGAAAAGUAGUGAAUGAGACACCAUAAGUCUCCAGAAUACCAUCAGUACAGAGUAUCCUCUAACACCUGUCCAAAAAGUCCUGAGCAUUCUCUCUCUCUGUGCCACUGAAAGGUGGUGGAUAGAGUCUCCCAAACCUCUCCAACCAACACUGAACAUCCUCAGGCAUAGCAAGAACCACAUAAUCCUGAGCAGCUGUAACCGGCUGGGCUGGUGGUUCCCCCGGUGUCUGGAGUCCCUGAACAACCUGCUCGGGUGUGCGAGCGACGGGAGUCUGAGUGCCUGUGCCUCCCCUGGCCUGAGAAGUGGUUGCGGCCGUCAAGAUAGAAACUGCCUGAGCAAGGCCAGUACACGUUGUCAUAAUUUGAGCUAGGGCCUCCUGAAGGCCUGGAAUUAUAAUAGGCACGGGUGGUGAUUGAGCUGGUGCAUCGACAACUGGAAUCUGGUCCUAAUCUGGGACAACUGGUGGAUCUGUAAGUACUGCCCUAGCUGUGGUACGGGCUACACCUAUGCCCCUACCAUGGCCUCUACCGCGGCCUCGACCUCUCGCGGCCCUGGCUGGUAGUACUGCUGGCUGGCCCUCUGACCGGUAGUACGAGUCCUCACCAU